rnacentral:rRNA from 1 species
GACGAACGCUGGCGGCGUGCUUAACACAUGCAAGUCGAACGGAAAGGCCCUGCUUUUGUGGGGUGCUCGAGUGGCGAACGGGUGAGUAACACGUGAGUAACCUGCCCUUGACUUUGGGAUAACUUCAGGAAACUGGGGCUAAUACCGGGUAGGAUCUCCUGCUGCAUGUUGGGGGUUGGAAAGUUUCGGCGGUUGGGGAUGGACUCGCGGCUUAUCAGCUUGUUUGUGGGGUAGUGGCUUACCAAGGCUUUGACGGGUAGCCGGCCUGAGAGGGUGACCGGCCACAUUGGGACUGAGAUACGGACCAGAAUGCUACGGGAGGCAGCAGUGGGGAAUAUUGCACAAUGGGCGGAAGCCUGAUGCAGCAACGCCGCGUGCGGAAUGCCGGCCUUCGGGUUGUAAACCGCUUUCGAAUGUGACGAAGAGUGAGUGACGGUACUGGGUAAAGAAGCAACGGCUAACUACGUG